CCAUCCCGGCUACACUGGGGCCCUUACUCAAUUAUUACUUGGUUUAUAUCCUCUUACCUACAGCCUUCUCUUAUUCCUUCUCUCUCCUGUACUACUUCCCAAAAUACCGUGGUCAAAAUAUUAUAUUUGAGGCAGAACACAGGUUGUUCUAAUCACUGAGAGGGAAAUGGAGGCCUCUCUGAGCAAAUCCAGUGGGUAAGCCACCACGCAAACACUGAUGACACCCAGAAUUGUCCUACGUCUCCUGGGAAACCACCACAGCAUCUCUGUUCUAAAUUGUCCACUGAUCCCACUGGUUGUUUACCUUGGAAGAACCACAUCAAAGAAAAAAAGGGGAUCCUCCCAGAAGAAGAUGUCCUAACUUCAGUGCAACAAAAACCUGAGCGAUAACAUCAGAUUUUGCCAGAAUGGAGUUACAUCCUGGCUCUCAUACAGAAACCCAGGCCUCCGACAGUGAGCACACUAUUAUGCCACAUUCUUUCAACAACUCCAGAAUGGAGGAAAACAAUGACAUGGGUAAUUUAAAAUAACAGAGGAUUUCAAAAAAAAAAAAAAAUCUUUUGUGUCUGAAGCUUUGAAUUAAUUAUAUGAUUAUUAU
ensembl:lncRNA